GAUGAAGAACGUAGCGAAAUGCGAUAAGUAAUGUGAAUUGCAGAAUUCAGUGAAUCAUCGAAUCUUUGAACGCACAUUGCGCCCCUUGGUAUUCCGGGGGGCAUGCCUGUCCGAGCGUCAUUGCUGCCCUCAAGCCCGGCUUGUGUGUUGGGCCCCGUCCCCCGAUCUCCGGGGGACGGGCCCGAAAGGCAGCGGCGGCACCGCGUCCGGUCCUCGAGCGUAUGGGGCUUUGUCACCCGCUCUGUAGGCCCGGCCGGCGCUUGCCGAUCAACCCAAAUUUUUAUCCAGGUUGACCUCGGAUCAGGUAGGGAUACCCGCUGAACUUAAGCAUAUCAAUAAGCGGAGGA
rnacentral:misc_RNA from 1 species